rnacentral:rRNA from 1 species
AACGAACGCUGGCGGCGUGCCUAACACAUGCAAGUCGAACGAGAAAGGGGCUUCGGCUCCGAGUAAAGUGGCGCACGGGUGAGUAACACGUGGGUAACCUGCCUCUAAGAUUGGGAUAACCCGUCGAAAGAUGGGCUAAUACCGGAUAAGACCACAGUCCCUGCGGGGACAGAGGUCAAAGGUAGCCUCUAUUUAUAAGCUAUCACUUAGAGAUGGGCCUGCGCACCAUUAGCUAGUUGGUAGGGUAACGGCCUACCAAGGCAAAGAUGGUUAGCUGGUCUGAGAGGAUGAUCAGCCACACUGGAACUGAGACACGGUCCAGACUCCUACGGGAGGCAGCAGUGGGGAAUAUUGCGCAAUGGGCGAAAGCUUGACGCAGCAACGCCGCGUGAGUGAUGAAGGCCCUUGGGUCGUAAAGCUCUGUCGGAGGGAACGAAUGCUCUUGAGGUUAACAGCCUUAAGAGGUGACGGUACCCUCAAAGGAAGCACCGGCUAACUCUGUGCCAGCAGCCGCCGUAAUAC